GCUGGGUGUAGUGGCCUACACCUGUAAUCCUAACUACUCCAGAGGCUGAGGCAGGAGGAUUGCAAGUUGAAGGCCAGGCUGGUCAACUUAAUGAGAUCCUGUCUCAA
rnacentral:sRNA from 1 species